rnacentral:rRNA from 1 species
AGUGAACGCUGGCGGCGUGCCUAAUACAUGCAAGUCGAACGGAGUGGCGCACGGGUGGGUAAUGUAUAGCUAAUCUGCCCUACACUAUAGGACAACAGUUGGAAACGACUGCUAAUACUCUAUAGUGUAGGAUGAGGCUAUAUUGUAUCAGCUAGUAGGUGAGGUAAUGGCGCACCAAGGCUAUGACGCAUAACUGGUCUGUGAAGAUGAUCAGUAACACUGGAACUGAGACACGGGCCAGAAUCCCACGGGAGGCAGCAGGAGGGAAAAUUGCCCAAUGGGGGAAACUCUGAAGCAGCAACGCAGCGUGGAGGAUGACACUUUUCGGAGCGUAAACUCCUUUUGUUAGGGAAGCGGUACCUAACGAAUAAGCAACGGCUAACUCCGUGCCAGCAGCCGCGGUAAUAC